AGAGGUAGGUGCUAUUAUCUACUCUAUUUUACAGAUAAAGAAACUGAGAUACUGAGAGAUUAAGUGAUUUCCCCAGGGUCACACAGCUGUUAAGUGUCUGAGACCAAUUUAUCAGAAUAUCUCUGAUGAAAGACUUUUGGAGAAUGACAACAAAAAGCUUCAGAAAGAGGACUUGGGUUGAAGCCCUGAUCUACAUACAUAGUUGUCUGUCCAUUAAGGGAAAGUGUCCUUACAAAAAGAUAUCAACAGUGUGGAAUGACAGAGACCAAGGAGGACACCUGAAACUCUUAACCUGCCAGACAAGAUUUCAUUCAUGACUGUACCCAGUGUACAGAAUCAAAUUAGCACAGAAACCUAUGGUUUGAAAAACCCAAAGAACACCGUUUUUGAGGUAAGAACUCAUAUUUCAUAAAGCUCUGGGGA
rnacentral:lncRNA from 1 species